rnacentral:rRNA from 1 species
CGUCUAUAUACGUAUAGCAUAUCAAUAAGCGGAGGAAAAGAAACUAACUAGGAUUCCCUCAGUAACGGCGAGUGAAGCGGGAAGAGCUCAAAUUUGAAAUCUUCAAGGUUUUACCUUGACGAAUUGUAGUUUAAAGAAGUGUUUUCUGUUGGUGUUUUGGUAGAAGUUCUUUGGAAUAGGACAUCAUAGAGGGUGAGAAUCCCGUAUUUGACCAUUACUUCCAGCGUUGUGAUACACUUUCAAAGAGUCGGAUUGUUUGGGAAUGCAGUCCAAAAUGGGUGGUAAAUUUCAUCUAAAGCUAAAUAUUGGCGAGAGACCGAUAGCGAACAAGUACCGCGAGGGAAAGAUGAAAAGAACUUUGAAAAGAGAGUUAAACAGUACGUGAAAUUGUCAAAAGGGAAGCGUUUGACACCAGUGUUGUUUUCUCGAAAAUCAAUUAAAAAUAAAUUUGAUUUUGUGUUGUAUUGACCUUAAAAGCUUUCUUCACUUUUUUCAUGUUUAUUUUUAAUGCACUUUUCGUUUAACAAGUCAACAUCAGUUUCUUUUGUUGUAAAAAGGUCAUUGGAAGGUGGCUUUCUUUUCAGAGAAAGUGUUUAUAGCCUUUGACUCCUGCAAUCGGAGAGACUGAGGUCUGCAGCGUAGAUCCUUCGGGGUUAGAUACAUUUGUGCUAAGUUAUAGCCUUUCAUAGACAACUUGUUGACUAUGAUCAGUCAUGUAGCUUACUCGCUUAUGCUAUUUUACCUACGCUUAGGAUGUUGAUCUGUAGUGCGUGCGC